rnacentral:rRNA from 1 species
UACGAAGGGGGCUAGCGUUGCUCGGAAUCACUGGGCGUAAAGGGCGCGUAGGCGGAUCUUUAAGUCGGUGGUGAAAUCCUGGAGCUCAACUCCAGAACUGCCUUCGAUACUGGGAGUCUCGAGUUCGGGAGAGGUGAGUGGAACUGCGAGUGUAGAGGUGAAAUUCGUAGAUAUUCGCAAGAACACCAGUGGCGAAGGCGGCUCACUGGCCCGAUACUGACGCUGAGGUGCGAAAGCGUGGGGAGCAAACAGG